rnacentral:rRNA from 1 species
GUCCACGCCGUAAACGUUGGGCACUAGGUGUGGGUUUCAACCAACGAGAUCCGCGCCGUCGCUAACGCAUUAAGUGCCCCGCCUGGGGAGUACGGCCGCAAGGUUAAAACUCAAAGGAAUUGACGGGGCCCGCACAAGCAGCGGAGCGUGUUGCUUAAUUCGAUGCAACGCGAAGAACCUUACCUGGGCUUGACAUGUACGGAAAAGCCGUAGAGAUGCGGUGUCCUUCGGGGCCGUACACAGGUGGUGCAUGGCUGUCGU